UGUACAAAGGUAGCAUAAUCAUUUGUCUCUUAAUUGGAGUCUGGUAUGAAUGGUUGGAUGAAAAAUUUACUUUCUUUUUUUUAUAAAAAAAAAUUGAUUUUUAAGUUAAAAAGCUUAAAUAAUUAUAGAGGACGAGAAGACCCUAUAGAACUUUAUCUUAAAAUAAUUUGUUUAAUUUUAGUUAAUUAUAUUUUUUAAAUUAUUUUAAAAUUUUAUUGGGGUGAUAAAAAAAAUUUAAUAACUUUUUUUAAUUAAUUCAUUAAUUAAUGAUUUUUUUGAUCCUUUAUUAUGGAUAAUAAGUUUAAGUUACCUUAGGGAUAACAGCGUUAUUAUUUUAGAGAGUUCAUAUCUAUAAAAUAGUUUGCGACCUCGAUGUUGGAUUAAAAUAAGUUUCAGGAGUAGAAAAUUGAAUACUAGGUCUGUUCGACCUUUAAAUUUUUACA
rnacentral:rRNA from 1 species